GAUGAACGCGGCGGCGUGCUUAACACAUGCAAGUCGAACGAAGCUGCUAAAAGGAAGUCUUCGGACAGAAUUUUAGUAGACUUAGUGGCGGACGGGUGAGUAACGCGUGGAUAACCUGCCUUAUACAGGGGGAUAACGGAGAGAAAUUUCCGCUAAGACCGCAUAAGACCACAGCACCGCAUGGUGCAGGGGUAAAAUAUUUAUAGGUAUAAGAUGGAUCCGCGUCCGAUUAGCUAGUUGGUGAGGUAGAGGCUCACCAAGGCGACGAUCGGUAGCCGGCCUGAGAGGGUGAACGGCCACAUUGGGACUGAGACACGGCCCAAACUCCUACGGGAGGCAGCAGUGGGGAAUAUUGGACAAUGGGGGAAACCCUGAUCCAGCGACGCCGCGUGAGUGAAGAAGUAUUUCGGUAUGUAAAGCGCUAUCAGCAGGGAAGAAAAUGACGGUACCUGACUAAGAAGCCCCGGCUAACUACGUGCCAGCAGCCGCGGUAAUACGUAGGGGGCAAGCGUUAUCCGGAUUUACUGGGUGUAAAGGGAGCGCAGACGGCGAAGCAAGUCUGAAGUGAAAUGCAUGGGCUCAACCCAUGAAUUGCUUUGGAAACUGUUUGGCUUGAGUGUCGGAGGGGUAAGCGGAAUUCCUAGUGUAGCGGUGAAAUGCGUAGAUAUUAGGAGGAACACCGGAGGCGAAGGCGGCUUACUGGACGACAACUGACGUUGAGGCUCGAAGGCGUGGGGAGCAAACAGG
rnacentral:rRNA from 1 species